UAAUCGCUAAGCUUAAUUGGAGGGACCAAAUGCAAGCUUCCCUAAGAUAAUAAACCAAAAAAAUAAAAAUCUAAUCACCUUCCCCUCCUUCCUCACGCUGUACCCACUCCCUUCCUUAUUUUCUUCCAUAACCACCGCCUCCUUUCUACCAACCAGCCACCCAAAGCACUUCAUUCUCCUUUUUUUGUUCCUUUCUCACCGGUGACCUCCAUUACACUCCCCUUUUGCCGAAAAUCAACAACUUCAGUGGGUGGAGUUGUCCUUUUCGGCUGCGAUCUCUAGACCACCACCUUGUCGGCCUCUUCUCUCAAAUUUGACCCUAAAAAUGGACUCCUCACCAUCAAAAACCUCAAGACAGCCUAUCUCCGUCCCCAAAUGUUAUCGUUUAGCUCAGUCCAAGACUCACCGAAGCUGAAAUAUUUCGUCCUUGGUCCGGUGGCUUCUGUUGAGAUUCCUGCAAAGAUAAUUGCAUACUUGGACUCUACACAUCCGAAACUUCACAUAAUCCGACGGUUCAGCUAGCUCCGCUAGAGGCGUAAGAGCAGCUGAAGAAAAUUCAACAGAACUAUGACAAUUAGGUUAUCUACAGUUCCUCUUAUUUUGGCUGCCUGAUUCUUUUCUUCCUCGAACUUAAUAUAACUAUUUUUCUUGUAUUUCUAAUUACUUAAAUUUUUAGAUACUCUGCAGUAUUUGCAUUCAGAUUUGUUAUUUCUAUUCGAUUUAAUGAACAAUCUGUUGAUGUAUUAAUUUUAUUAUUGUUGAUGAACCGGUAUAAAUUCUAUUUUAAUUGUGUGGAUGAAUAUUAGUAAAUGAAAUAU